UUAAUAUUCCUAAUAUUGUAGAAGAGGCUGGAAGCUCAACCACAGACCCGGAAAAAAACGUCAGAACUCACAAGUCACAACAAACCUGAGUAAUCAUAGCCCCUCAUCCCACUUCUUUCCGUUCGGUGUUAGUCAUCCUCGAAACAAGUCCCAAUCACACUGAACCUUGAGACAAAAUGGUGGUGGUGAUAGAGCAGCAAGAGAUCAAGGAUCGAAACGCCAAUCCCUCCAGGGUGGUUGCCGGUAACGAGGCUUCCGAUGGUUUUGAAACGGCCAGCGACACCGACCUUGGCAGUGACAACGGAGGGGAUGACGUCGGAUCUAGCAGCCAUGAUCAACCGCUCGAGCAACCGCAGCAGCAACAUCAACGGCAGCAGCUGAAGAUAGAACAUUUGGAGGCGGAGCCGGAGCAGAGUGUUUCUCCAAGUAAUAGUUGCCCUGGGGAUCUCUUGAUCAAUGAGGAGUUGGAGAAGAAAGCAAUGGUUCAAGCAAAUGAAGCAAAGGCAGAAGGGAACAAGCUUUUUGUGGAUGGGAAGUAUGAGGAAGCAUUAUCCCAGUAUGAACUUGCUUUACAAGUUGCAUCUGACAUGUCUUCAUUGGUUGAAAUACGCUCAAUAUGCCAUGCAAACCGUGCUGUGUGCUUUCAGAAACUGGGAAAAUAUGACAACACAGUUAAAGAAUGCACAAAAGCACUAGAUCUGAAUCCAGUGUACAUUAAAGCUUUAGUAAGAAGAGGAGAAGCUCAUGAAAAGCUUGAACAUUUUGAAGAAGCCAUUGCUGAUAUGAAAAAGAUCUUAGAAAUUGAUCCCUCAAAUGAUCAAGCUAGGAAGGCCAUCAGGCGACUUGAGCCGCUUGCUGCAGAAAAGCGGGAAAUGAUGAAGGAAGAGAUGAUUGCAAAACUAAAAGAAAUGGGAAAUUCUUUCCUGGGCCGUUUUGGGAUGAGUGUCGAUAACUUCAAAGCAGUUAAAGAUCCAAACACUGGUUCUUAUUCUAUCUCAUUCCAGCAUUAAGUGUGGCAGAUCAAAGUCAUAGUAGCAUUAAGUAAGAAAGAUGCAGUCCAUAAUGAUGCAGUGGUGCUAAGCAUUUAAGCAAUGUCCGCAUUGGUCAAGUACUUCAUGUCCUAGCUAGAAGAUGAUGGAACUAAUUCAUUGGGACAUUUUUUUUUCUUAGGCACCUUGGAAUUCUGGGUUAUUUAAGUAGUGAGGAAGUUGAACAUUGCUAAAUCAUGAGUAAGUGCAAACAUUUGUUCAUGAUGGCAAUAUCUAAGUGUUUUGGGUUUGUUCGCUGCUGCUCCGUCACAGGUUCGUUCAUUGUGUUGUGUUAGUCAUUACUGUUAGAUGUGAUUACUGAUUAACAAGUGGUUGUUUACUUGUUUUACAACAGCCCUUGAUUAAUGCAGAUAAUAUAAAUUGAGUCUUUGAAUUA